rnacentral:rRNA from 1 species
AUUGAACGCUGGCGGCAUGCUUUACACAUGCAAGUCGAACGGCAGCGCGGGCUUCGGCCUGGCGGCGAGUGGCGAACGGGUGAGUAAUUCAUCGGAACGUGCCCAGUAGUGGUGGAUAGCCCGGCUAAAGCCGGAUUAAUACCGCAUACGACCUGAGGGUGAAAGCGGGGGACCGAAAGGCCUCGCGCUAUUGGAUCGUCCGAUGUCGGAUUAGCUAGUUGGUGGGGUAAAGGCUUACCAAGGCGACGAUCCGUAGCUGGUCUGAGAGGACGACCAGCCACACUGGGACUGAGACACGGUCCAGACUCCUACGGGAGGCAGCAGUGGGGAAUUUUGGACAAUGGGGGCAACCCUGAUCCAGCCAUGCCGCGUGAGGGAAGAAGGCCUUCGGGUUGCAAACCGCUUUUGUUAGGGAAGAAAUACUCUGGGCUAAUACCCAGGGGGGAUGACGGUACCGGAAGAAUAAGCACCGGCUAACUACGUG